GCUGCUCAGAAAUGCACACUGCGACUGGUGAGCAGUAGGUGAUGUUUAUCAAAGGAUAAGCGGCUAAGAUGUAGAA
rnacentral:ribozyme from 2 species